rnacentral:SRP_RNA from 1 species
GGCCUCGAAUCGGGUCAGGUCCGGAAGGAAGCAGCCCUAAGAGCUCCUUCCGAUGUCUUCGGGACGCCGUGGCCGU